GUUGCUUCACUUGCUUGGUGAUGGUGAUUCUGCCAUCAGCAUAGUGUUUCAAAGUUUCAAUCUGUUUCAAUCAUUGAAUUGUUUAUUUGUAACUUAGUGAGAUUGUCUAAUAGAUGGGCAAACGUUGACUUCUGUUUCUCCAUUACCUCAUCUGUGCUACUCACGUCCCGUUAUCCCCUUUUACGUGGUUGAAACAAAGUGCUAAAUUAAAUCAAGGAAAUGUUUGAAACAUGUGUCUGUGCCCAGAUCACAUUCAAAUUGGUGAAAGAAGAGAGCCAUAGAUUGUUUCACCUGCAUUGGAUUUUUCAAUCUCCUUGCUAGAACAAAAUGAGUGCUGCUAGACGAUUUUGUUCUGUGUGUCAUUAUUAGGUCCAAAUAAAAACACCACUUAUCUCUAACACAACAAGUUUUUCAUGUAAAGUGUGACUGUUGAAGUUACUUCGGCCAAUGCUUCUGCUUGUGAAGAAUCCAGCAAUGCAGAAAAAAGUAUUAAUGAAGUGAACUAUUCAGUGACAGCACCACCUACCUUACUAAACGGCCAGAUGAAAUUUCUGCCUAAAAUUAGAAGAAUUCCAAAUCUCUAGUCGAUGUGGACUGACAUAGAAGAUUAUUGAGUCACGAGCAUCUUUACGUCAAUGGCGCGAAUGCUGCUUCAUUGCAAAACAUUCAUUGCAGUUUAUGAUAGUGUUCAUCAAGUGGUGGUGUACUCCAUACCAAACAAAAAGCGUGCAGCAAAUUUCCAAAAGCAAAUAAGGGUGUACAGCUAUUUUAAUUCUUGCCUGAAUGAAAAAUAUGCGGCUUUUUUCAGUAAAUGACAAAAACCAAGAUUCUAUUUUAUUGGUUAUCAUCACAGAUUAUCUGUUUUGAUGGCCAUUGGUGAAGAGAACAGCAUAGGAAUGCGUCAGCUUUGUCUGGGUCUGGGCUAAAUGCCCUACUAGAUAGAAUCCUCUUGCGAAACUUCGCCUGCUCCUAAGUUACACAAUACACCUCUUAAGCUACUUCCAAAAAGCAAAAAAAAUUUAUAUUAGGAUUUUGAGUUUAUUUUCAGGUGGGAGAUCCAUUUGCUUGUCUAUCAAAUAAUUUGAGAUCACAACAAGGUCUGAGCUUCACUGCUGUCAUGCAGAUGGUUUCAUUGCAGCCACCCGGUGAAAAGGGAGUUCAAGUUGAGCUGCAGCUGCUGCAAGCAGUCUGUAGCGGUGAUGUCAUCCUGAAGUGUUGUUAAUGUGGCAGUCUAGGCUGAAGCUAAUUAAAGUGUGCUGUUCAAGUCUUAUCACAGACGUCAAGCACAUUGAUAACAAAUUAUGAACAGGGGUCUAAACUACAUGUUUCUAAAUUUGCAUACCAGACUUUAUGAGAAGUCAUAUCGUUUGAAGAAGAAGGACGAUGACUACACAGUCGCCAAGGUCUCUUGUUUGAAAACCCGUUGGCUGCUACCUGUGAAUCUUCCUUUUUACUUCCUUUAACGGGCCCUCUUAAUUGAGGGUAACUCUUCGCUUCUGAUCUUCCACUGGACCCGACUUCAUCCAUUGGUGAAAGCUGACGAGAGAAUGAUGUAAUUCAAGACUGAUUAAUUGUGUAGUUGUUAGAUUACAUUACGAGUGCAUUUCUGGGCUCCCUUCUUUUCUGUGGCCCCGUUUCCCUAUCUAACUACUAACCAACGCCCGCCGGUGGUCACUCACUUGCUGUGAAACCAGGAGGAGGGGAGGGCUCUGGUCGAACGGGGACUUGGAAGGCGCAUGAUCUGAGGGUCAUGAGUCUAACACGGAAGUCUAGUAUGACUAAUUCGCUCCCCAGUAAAACUUGCCUCGCACUCUUCUCUCCUCUUCCAUUUCCAGGUAAUCU
rnacentral:lncRNA from 1 species